AGUGAACGCUGGCGGUAGGCCUAACACAUGCAAGUCGAACGGCAGCACAGUAAGAGCUUGCUCUUACGGGUGGCGAGUGGCGGACGGGUGAGGAAUACAUCGGAAUCUACUUUUUCGUGGGGGAUAACGUAGGGAAACUUACGCUAAUACCGCAUACGACCUACGGGUGAAAGCAGGGGAUCUUCGGACCUUGCGCGAUUGAAUGAGCCGAUGUCGGAUUAGCUAGUUGGCGGGGUAAGGGCCCACCAAGGCGACGAUCCGUAGCUGGUCAGAGGGGAUGAUCAGGCACACUGGAACUGAGACUCAGUCCAGACUCCUGCGGGAGGCCGCAGUGGAGAAUCCUGCGGGAUGGGGGCGAGCCUGAUCCAGCCAUACCGCGUAAAUGAUGAAGGCCUUAGGGUUGUAAAGCCCUUAUGUUGGGAAAGAAGAGCAACAGUUUAAUCCCCCGCUGUUCUGACGGUACCCAAAGAAUAAGCACCGGCUAACUUCGUG
rnacentral:rRNA from 1 species